CGAGCACAAAGCUGUUGUAAAAGACUUAAUUUCUGGCACUGUGAGGGACUUGUACUCCGGGUGACAUAACAGGAAUUCCUUAAUAUGAGUGAUGAUAAACCUUUCCAAUGUACUGCUCCUGGGUGUGGACAGAGGUUUACUAAUGAAGACCACUUGGCUGUCCACAAACACAAACAUGAGAUGACCCUGAAGUUUGGCCCUGCAAGGAAUGACAGUGUCAUCAUUGCUGACCAAACACCUACACCUACCCGCUUUUUGAAGAAUUGCGAGGAGGUGGGGCUCUUCAAUGAACUUGCAAGUCCAUUCGACCAUGACUUCAAAAAAGCCACUGACGAUGACAUUAAAAAGUUACCACUGGAUUUGUCACCCCUUGCGACGCCUAUCAUACGCAACAAAGUCGAGGAACCCACAGCAAUGGAGGCACAUCGAGAUAGCCCUCUGCCUCACCCUGAAUCUACAACAAGCGAUGACAAGGACUUAUCUUUGCAGCCAGCCUCACUGCCAACAUCCACUAUAGUCCAUCCUGCAUCCCUCCAAGUUCCCAAUGUACUUCUAGCAACCUCAGAGGCUAAUGUUGUAAUACAGCAAGCUCUCCCAUCGCCAACAUCUAGCUCUGUUAUUACCCAAGUCCCAUCCACUAAUAGGCCUAUAGUCCCAGUGUCUGGCACCUUCCCUGUGCUCUUACAGCUGCCUAAUGGCCAGACCAUGCCAGUUGCUAUACCUGCGUCUAUUACAAACUCAAGUGUACAUAUUCCAACUACAAUCCCUCUUGUCAGACCUGUCACCGUAGUGCCUAACGUCCCCGGGAUCCCAGGACCCCCCUCGCCACAGCCACAGGCACAGCCACAGCCCGCCCAAUCAGAAGCAAAGCUGAAACUGAAAGCCACAUUAAGCCAGCAGCUUCCUCAGGUAACCAAUGGAGAUGGUGGUGAAGUUCAGAGCAGCGCUGUUACACACACUGCUGCUCCCGCUUCUCCUGCUCCGACCCCGACCCCAACUCCAGCCCCGACCGCAGUCCUAACUCCGGCUCCGGCUCCUCACCUACCCACAGCUGAGGAACCUUCUGCCCAUUCCCUUCAACAGCCAGCCACCUCCACCACAGAGACACCUGCUUCCCCGGUGCCCCCUGCACAAAACCCUCCAAGCACAGGGGGUCGGCGGCGCAGAACCACAAGUGAAGACCCUGAUGAGAAACGCCGCAAGUUCCUGGAGCGUAACAGGGCUGCCGCUUCUCGCUGUAGGCAAAAGAGGAAAGUGUGGGUCCAGUCUCUGGAGAAGAAGGCGGAGGACCUCAGCUCCAUGAACGGACAACUACAGAAUGAAGUCACCCUGCUGAGAAACGAAGUGGCUCAGCUGAAGCAGCUUCUUCUGGCUCAUAAAGAUUGCCCUGUAACCGCCAUGCAGAAGAAAUCUGGCUAUCACACAGGAUCCGCAGAUGAAGUGGGUCAUCUUUCUCAUGUGUUUGCUGAGGAUGUCUGUCCUGCGUUUUCCAGACCUUUGUGAAGGAUGAGAUUUGGAGCACUUUUUAUGCAGUUUGGAAAAAAUAUGACCCCAUCCAAAUACCCCGCUUCAUCAGUUUGGUUCAUGAUGACAGAUUACUGGAGCUACUCCACAAUCAUUUAACCCCUUUCAACCCUCAACUGUAGAAGUAACCCUUGGGAUACAAGUGACCCUGGUUGAGAAUCAAUGAAAUAAUAAAUCUCACUAAUUAGUAAAACACAUUAUUUCAUUCUGACUGAUCCAUGGCUCUCACCCAUAUAAAGGCCUCAUCAAGCUCUCUGUUCUCCGAGAGUUACACAUCCCAUAAGGCUACACUGGCCUCCAGACCUGGUAAUACCCUUCAUCGUCCUGACCAGGCAUAACCAUGGCAGGUGGGAGGAAAUUACCCAGACUGCCCCACAAACAAGCCCGGACAUGCUUUCAGUUGGCACACCAAGCUGUCCAUCUGCUUACAGCAAACCCCACUUCAGAAACCAAGAGAGCAGAAAGAAGCUCCGGCUGCCCAGGGAACCAGAAUUUCCGAGUAUUAUUAUAUAUCAGCCAGCCAGCCCUUAAUGUCGUUAGGAGUAAUAAUGCUCACUUGAACAUGGAACAAAACCACGAGGCUGAUUUAUUCUGAGGUUGACCUUCUACAUGGUAAAACAGCAAGGGAGUUUAUUGCGCUUUGACAUUCACUUGCACUAAAUCACACGGUCAAAGUCUAGUCAAGAGGGCAGAUGAAGCUUCUAAUGUGAAGACAUUUGUGUUGCACUUUAAUUGCUUCCUCUUGCUAUGGAAUCUGUAUUUUACAGUCUCAAAUACGAGUCCCAGUCAUUAAUUACAAAGUGCCAUAACAAGUGACUUCAUAUCAUUAGCAAUAUUAAUUAUCAUUGUGCUCCUUAUUCCUUUAUGAAACAGAGCAUGAGAGUAGAGUCUUUUUUUUUUCUUUUUUUUUUUUUUCCAUCCGGAUCCAAUUAAUUCAAUGCAACUGCCUAACAGCUGGUGGCAUUUCAACUCCAAGUCUUCCCUACUCUCCAGUGUGAGCAUCAUUAAAAUCAGGUGCUGUAAUCAUCUGUCGCUGCAGUAGUUGGCAAGAUAACAAAAAAACAAAUGAGAAUGCAGUUAGGGAUGGGAAACAUUGCCACAUGCCCCAGAAUGUAAUGCACCCUUAUGAUGUGGGUUUAAAUUGACAUUGGAGCUUUAAUUAAAGGAAGGGGUGCAGAAGUAGCAUUAUGGGGAUUAAUGAAAUGGUUUCCACACACCACAUGCAAAUAGCUCUUUUACAUCUGAUUAGGCCUACAUGACAAAGUUUUCCUGAGCCUUUCUGGAUUGUAUCACUGUCAGUGCUGUCAAUUAAAACAGCAGGAAACGGCAAAUCCAAACUUUAUCAAGACAUAUUAUCGGCCCAGACUGUGAUUUUUCUGUGUGAUCUUUGCAGUCUCUGACAAAGAUGAGAGCUGCGAGGACAUGUCUGUCCCCGGCAGCCCCCAGAACGAGGCCAUCCAGCACAGCUCCGUCAGCACCUCCAAUGGGGUCAGCUCUUCCUCCACGACCCCGGCCGUCUCCGCCCUGUC